rnacentral:tRNA from 1 species
UAUAUUUAAGUGUGUAUUUGCACUAAAAUUUUUGAAAUUUUAAGAAAUAAUAUUUUAUUGUUAAGUAUAU